GGAAAAGAAACUAACAAGGAUUCCCCUAGUAACGGCGAGUGAAGAGGGAAGAGCCCAAGAUUGAAAGCUGGCGUCUUCGGCGUCCGCAUUGUAAUCUCAAGAAGUGUUUUCCGCUUCGGACCAAGCCUAAGUCCCUUGGAAAAGGGCAUCAUAGAGGGUGAUAAUCCCGUACAUGGCUUGGAGCGCCCGAGGCUUUGUGAUACGCUUUCUAAGAGUCGAGUUGUUUGGGAAUGCAGCUCAAAAUGGGUGGUAAAUGCCAUCUAAGGCUAAAUAUUGGGGAGAGACCGAUAGCGAACAAGUACAGUGAUGGAAAGAUGAAAAGAACUUUGAAAAGAGAGUUAAACAGUACGUGAAAUUGCCAAAAGGGAAGGGUAGGAGGUCAGAGAUGCGGCCUGGGAUUCAGCCUUGCUUUUGCUUGGUGUUUUUCCCAGAUUGCAGGCCAACGUCGGUUUUGGGCACUGGAGAAGGGUAGGAGGAACGUGGCACCCCUCGGGGUGUGUUAUAGCCUCCUACUGGAUACAGCGACCGAGACCGAGGACAGCAGCGUACUCGUAAGAGCGGGCCCUCGGGCACCUUUACGCUUAGGGUGUGGAUAGUUCGGA
rnacentral:rRNA from 1 species